rnacentral:rRNA from 1 species
AAACUAGGAUUAGAUACCCUAUUAUUUUAAAGGUAAAUUAAUAAUAUCUGAGUAGUAGGAGAUAAGGCCUUAAAACUCAAAGAAUUUGGCGGUGUUUUAGUCUUAUCAGAGGAACUUGCCCCGUAAUCGACAAUCCUCGUUUUACUUCACUUAAUUUUGUUAAUUCAGCUUGUAUACCGCCGUCAACAGGAAAUUUCUGAAGAAAAUUUUCAAGGGAUUAAAUUAAAUAAAAUGUCAGGUCAAGGUGCAGCUUAUGGUUAAGAGGAGGUGAGUUACAUUAUAUAAAUAUACACGGAAUGUUUAAUGAAAAAAGGUAAGAAGGUGGAUUUGGAAGUAAAAUAGUUGAGUAAAACUAUUUGAUAUUAGCUCUAAAACAUGCACACAUCGCCCG